rnacentral:rRNA from 1 species
CCUACGGGAGGCAGCAGUGGGGAAUAUUGCACAAUGGGGGCAACCCUGAUGCAGCAACGCCGCGUGAGUGAAGAAGGCCUUCGGGUUGUAAAGCUCUGUCCUCAGGGACGAAAAUGACGGUACCUGCUGAGGAAGCAGCGGCUAACUACGUGCCAGCAGCCGCGGUAAUACGUAGGUGGCGGGCGUUGUCCGGAUUUACUGGGCGUAAAGGGAGCGGAGGCGGCGGUGCAAGUCAGAUGUGAAAUCCACGGGCUCAACCUGAGGGCUGCAUUUUAAACUGGAGGUCUUGAGUGCAGGAGAGGCGGAUGGAAUUCCUAGUGUAGCGGUGAAAUGCGUAGAGAUUAGGAGGAACACCAGUGGCGAAGGCGGUCUGCUGGACUGCAACUGACGCUGAGGCGCGAAAGCGUGGGGAGCAAACAGGAUUAGAUACCCUAGUAGUC